UAUGGGUCCGCCGACGGCGCGCUGUGAACCCCGCUAGGCCCGGAAGGGAGCAACGGUAGCAGAAGGCGAGUGUGGCGGGCCCUUCUGC
rnacentral:SRP_RNA from 1 species